AAUAAAGUGCCUGAAAUUAAAGGAUUAUUGUGAUAGAAUAAAAUAUAUAGCCUAUGCUAUCUUUAUUA
rnacentral:tRNA from 1 species